GAAGUAAUUAGUUUUAUGGAAGCUGCUAACUUUACAUAACAGCGGUUAAAUUCCGUUGAUACUUCU
rnacentral:tRNA from 1 species